AGCUAAUAGAUACCCCGGUAGUCCACGCCGUAAACGAUGAAUGCUAGCUGUUAGAAGUAUCGACCCUUCUAGUAGCGAAAGCUAACGCGUUAAGCAUUCCGCCUGUGGAGUACGGUCGCAAGACUAAAACAUAAAGGAAUUGACGGGGACCCGCACAAGCGGUGGAGCGUGUUCUUUAAUUCGAAGGUAAGCGAAGAACCUUACCAAGGUUUGACAUCCCGGUAGCCGUUUUCCGAAAGGAGAACUUCAUUUAGUUGGACCGGUGACAGGUGUUGCAUGGCCGUCGUCAGCUCGUGUCGUGAGAUGUUUGGUUAAGUCCAUCAACGAGCGCAACCCUUAUAGUUAGUUGGAUUUCUCUAGCUAGACUGCCCCGGUAACGGGGAGGAAGGAGGGGAUGAUGUCAGGUCAGUAUUACCCUUACACCUUGGGCUAGAAACACGCUACAAUGGCCAGUACAAAGGGCAGCCAAGUCGCGAGACGGAGCAAAUCCCAUCAAAGCUGGUCCCAGUUCGGAUA
rnacentral:rRNA from 1 species